AACGAACGCUGGCGGCAGGCUUAACACAUGCAAGUCGAACGCAUCCUUCGGGGUGAGUGGCAGACGGGUGAGUAACGCGUGGGAACGUGCCCUUCAGUUCGGGAUAUCCUAGGGAAACUUGGGCUAAUACCGGAUACGUGCGAGAGCAGAAAGAUUUAUCGCUGAAGGAUCAGCCCGCGUCUGAUUAGCUAGUUGGUGGGGUAAUGGCCCACCAAGGCGACGAUCAGUAGCUGGUCUGAGAGGAUGAUCAGCCACAUUGGGACUGAGACACGGCCCAAACUCCUACGGGAGGCAGCAGUGGGGAAUAUUGGACAAUGGGCGCAAGCCUGAUCCAGCCAUGCCGCGUGAGUGAUGAAGGCCUUAGGGUUGUAAAGCUCUUUCGUCCGGGACGAUAAUGACGGUACCGGAAGAAGAAGCCCCGGCUAACUUCGUGCCAGCCGCCGCAGUAA
rnacentral:rRNA from 1 species